rnacentral:tRNA from 1 species
GGGAGAGUCGCCUAAUGAUAGGGCAGAAGCUUCAUAAGCUUCCCUGCGCAGGUUUGAUUCCUGCCUCUCCCACCA